GGUUCCAUAGUGUAGCAGUUAGCACAUCCGCUUUACACGCAGAAGGUCCUGGGUUCACACCCCAGUGGAGACA
rfam:Pteropus alecto contig26624, whole genome shotgun sequence.